rnacentral:rRNA from 1 species
GAUGAACGCUGGCGGCAUGCCUAACACAUGCAAGUCGAGCGGUAAGGCUCUUCGGAGUACACGAGAGGCGGACGGCCGAGUAACGCGUAGGAACACACCCUGCAGACAGGGAUGAGACACCGAACGGCGUUCUAAUACCGCAUAUGGCCUUCGGAAUAAAGGAUCUGUGCGCUGAAGUAGGAGAGUGCGUCAUAUUAGAUGGUUGGUGAGGUAAUGGCACACCAUGUCGAGGUUGUGUAGAUGGUCUGAGAGAAUGAGCAGCCAGACUGGAACUAAGACACGGUACAGAAUCCUACGGGAGGGAGGAGAGAGGGAUAGAGCAAAACGAGCGAAAGGAUGAUGGUGCAAGGACGGGUACAGGAUGAAGUCACGCGAGUUGUAAACUGCUUGUAUAAGAGAAGGUUAUGACGGUAACUUAUGAAUAAGGGACGGCUAACUACGUG